rnacentral:rRNA from 1 species
AUUGAACGCUGGCGGCAGGCCUAACACAUGCAAGUCGAGCGGAUGAGGAAAGCUGGCUUUUCGAUUCAGCGGCGGACGGGUGAGUAAUGCCUAGGAAUCUGCCUAUGAGUGGGGGAUAACGUUCCGAAAGGAACGCUAAUACCGCAUACGUCAUAGGGGAGAAAGGGGGGGAUCUUCGGACAGCACGCGAAUAAGUGAGCAGAGGUCGGAUUAGCUAGUUGGUGAGGUAACGGCCCACCAAGGCGACGAUCCGUGGCUGGUCUGAGAGGAUGAUCAGCCACACUGGAACUGAGACACGGUCCAGACUCCUACGGGAGGCAGCAGUGGGGAAUAUUGCACAAUGGGCGAAAGCCUGAUCCAGCCAUGCCGCGUGUGUGAAGAAGGUCUUCGGAUUGUAAAGCACUUUAAGUUGGGAGGAAGGGUUGUAAGCUAAUAUCUUGCAGCUUUGACGUUACCAACAGAAUAAGCACCGGCUAACUCUGUGCCAGCCGCCGCCGUAAAAC